UACGUAGGAGGCGAGCGUUGUCCGGAGUUACUGGGCGUAAAGGGUGCGCAGGCGGCGGUUCGCGUGGCGAGAUGAAUCUCCUGCUUACCUGGGAGGGUGGUCGCCAGACGGGAUCGCUUGAGGGUCGGAGAGGGGGCGUGGAAUUCCGGGUGGAGCGGUGAAAUGCGUAGAGAUCCGGAGGAACACCGACGGCGUAGGCAGCGCCCUGGAC
rnacentral:rRNA from 1 species